UACGUAGGUGGCAAGCGUUAUCCGGAUUUACUGGGUGUAAAGGGCGUGUAGGCGGGAAAGCAAGUAAGAUGUGAAAACCACGGGCUCAACCUGUGGCCUGCAUUUGAAACUGUUUUUCUUGAGUACUGGAGAGGCAGACGGAAUUCCUCGUGUAGCGGUGAAAUGCGUAGAUAUGAGGAGGAACACCAGUGGCGAAGGCGGUCUGCUGGACAGCAACUGACGCUGAGGCGCGAAAGCGUGGGGAGCAAACAGG
rnacentral:rRNA from 1 species